UCCUGCUUAACACAGGCAGUCUCUUUAGAGUGCCCAACUUAAUGGUGGCAACUAAGGAUAAGGGUUGCGCUCGUUAAGGGACUUAACCCGACAUCUCACGAUACGAGCUGACGACAGCCAUGCAGCACCUAUCUCCCAGUGUCCGAAGACAAAACCCUAUCUCUAGGGGUAGCCGGGGAUGUUAAGUCCAGGUAAGGUUCUUCGCGUUGCAUCGAAUUAAACCACAUGCUCCACCGCUUGUGCGGGCCCCCGUCAAUUCCUUUGAGUUUUAAUCUUGCGACCGUACUUCCCAGGCGGGGUACUUAAUGCGUUAGCGUCGUCACUGCAGGGGUCAAUACCCGCAACAACUAGUACCCAUCGUUUACGGCGUGGACUAC
rnacentral:misc_RNA from 1 species